rnacentral:rRNA from 1 species
CCUACGGGUGGCAGCAGUGAGGAAUAUUGGACAAUGGACGCAAGUCUGAUCCAGCCAUGCCGCGUGCAGGAAGACGGCUCUAUGAGUUGUAAACUGCUUUUGUACGAGGGUAAAUCCCGAUACGUGAAUCGGGUUGAAAGUAUCGUACGAAUAAGGAUCGGCAAACUCCGUGCCAGCAGCCGCGGUAAUACGGAGGAUUCAAGCGUUAUCCGGAUUUAUUGGGUUUAAAGGGUGGGUAGGCGGGCGGUUAAGUCGACGGUAAAAGCCAGGGGCUCAACCUCGGCGAGCCUUUGAAACUGGAUGACUUGAGAUGUGGAGAGGUGUGCGGAAUGCGAAGUGUAGCGGUGAAAUGCUUAGAUAUUGCGCAGAACUCCGGUGGCGAAGGCAGCAUACCGGCGGCGAACUGACGCUGAGGCACGAAAGCGUGGGUAUCGAACAGGAUUAGAUACCCUAGUAGUC